rnacentral:rRNA from 1 species
CGUGUAGGUGGUUAGAUAAGUCAGAUGUGAAAGCUUCCGGCUUAACCGGAAAACUGCAUUUGAAGCUGUUUAGCUUGAGUGCGAGAGAGGGUAGCGGAAUUCCCAGUGUAGCGGUGAAAUGCGUAGAUAUUGGGAAGAACACCAGUAGCGAAGGCGGCUACCUGGCUCGCAACUGACGCUAAUGCGCGAAAGCGUGGGGAGCAAACA